rnacentral:rRNA from 1 species
AUGUGGAAUUUGUUAGUUUUAUAUGUCGUGUCAAAUCAUGUGUGUGGUUGUCCAGCUGCAUGUCUUCCACUAACUAGUCAAUCAAAGGAUUGUCUCUUUUGUGCGAUCGCAUGUGCAAAAGCAUCCCGGGGCUUUCCAGCAUCUUGUGAUUGUGGUUGA